rnacentral:rRNA from 1 species
CCACGGGUGGCAGCAGUGGGGAAUAUUGGACAAUGGGGGGAACCCUGAUCCAGCCAUGCCGCGUGUGUGAAGAAGGUCCUCGGGUUGUAAAGCACUUUCAGUGAGGAAGAACGCCUGGUGGUUAAUACCCAUCAGGAAAGACAUCACUCACAGAAGAAGCACCGGCUAACUCCGUGCCAGCAGCCGCGGUAAUACGGAGGGUGCGAGCGUUAAUCGGAAUUACUGGGCGUAAAGCGCGCGUAGGUGGCUUGAUAAGCCGGUUGUGAAAGCCCCGGGCUCAACCUGGGAACGGCAUCCGGAACUGUCAAGCUAGAGUGCAGGAGAGGAAGGUAGAAUUCCCGGUGUAGCGGUGAAAUGCGUAGAGAUCGGGAGGAAUACCAGUGGCGAAGGCGGCCUUCUGGACUGACACUGACACUGAGGUGCGAAAGCGUGGGUAGCAAACAGGAUUAGAUACCCCAGUAGUC